GGAGUUGUGGCUCAGUGGCAGAGAGCUUGCCUACAUGCAGGGGGCACUGGGUUCGAUCCUCAGCACCA
rnacentral:tRNA from 1 species